rnacentral:rRNA from 1 species
CCUACGGGUGGCAGCAGUGGGGAAUCUUGCGCAAUGCUCGUAAGAGUGACGCAGCGACGCCGCGUGAAUGACGAAGGCCUUCGGGUCGUAAAGUUCUUUCGUCAGGGAAGAAAAUGCCUAUAAGUAACUGUGUAUGUAUUGACGGUACCUGUAUAAGCAGCCCCGGCUAACUUCGUGCCAGCAGCCGCGGUAAUACGGAGGGGGCGAGCGGUGGUCGGAGUGAAUGGGCGGAAAGAGCACGGCGGCGGGGUAGUAAGUCAUUAGGCAAAGAGUAGAGCUCAACUUUAGUAAGGCUAGUGAUACUAUAAUACUAGAGUAUCAGAGAGGAUUGCAGAAUUCCUGGUGUAGCGGUGAAAUGCGUAGAUAUCAGGAGGAAUACCGUUAGCGAAGGCGGCAAUCUGGCUGGAAACUGACGCUGAGGUGCGAAAGCGUGGGUAGCAAACAGGAUUAGAUACCCCAGUAGUC